rnacentral:rRNA from 1 species
CUGGGGAGUACGACCGCAAGGUUGAAACUCAAAGGAAUUGACGGGGGCCCGCACAAGCGGAGGAACAUGUGGUUUAAUUCGAUGAUACGCGAGGAACCUCACCCGGGCUCGAACGGUGCAUGAAUGUCAGAGAGAUUUGACAGUCCUUCGGGACAUGUAUCGAGGUGCUGCAUGGUUGUCGUCAGCUCGUGCCGUGAGGUGUCGGCUUAAGUGCCAUAACGAGCGCAACCCUUGUUGACAGUUACCAUCAGGUAAAGCUGGGGACUCUGUCGAGACUGCCACCGUAAGGUGUGAGGAAGGGGGGGAUGACGUCAAAUCAGCACGGCCCUUAUGUCCGGGGCGACACACGUGUUACAAUGGGAGGUACAGAGGGCAGCUAUCCAGUGAUGGAGUGCAAAUCUCAAAAACCUUUCUCAGUUCGGAUUGGAGUCUGCAACUCGACUCCAUGAAGUUGGAUUCGCUAGUAAUCGCGCAUCAGCCAUGGCGCGGUGAAUACGUUCCCGGGCCUUGUACACACCGCCCGUCAAGCCAUGGAAGCUUGGGGUGCUUGAAGUUCGUGAC